UGGUACAACAUGGGGUACAGUACACAACUCACUAGCUGUAGGGAUUGCAAAAUUUUAAAGGGUCCCACACCCAAUUAAGCUUUAGUCAUCUCAUAGACCCCAUGGAGACAACACAACCCCAAUAUGAAUCCUUACUUAUAAAUGAUGAAGAAAGUAGAUCUGUUUCUUGUAAUUGAGUUCCCAUAUAUCCCCAUCAAAAUCUCUCUCUCUCUGGAGAGAGAGAGAGAGAGAGAGAGAGAGAGAGAGAGAGAGAAUGGUUGGUGUAGGUGUAAGUUUCUGAAAGAAAUGAAAAUUGCGUACGGAGGGUUCCCGAUUAAAAGAAGGUGGGUGAUGAGCAAGAUGGAGAAGCAGGGCACGUGCAUUACUAACUCAUCAUGAAGACCUACAAAAGUUUUGCGUUAAUUAAACCUUGAAGGUGUUAAUCCAACGUACCUAACCCAGCCAAAUAGCCUUGACGUCUGGAGUUGAUGGUUUAACCCUUGUAUAUUUCUUUGCGAUUCACCUACAGAUCUUUGAAUAAUUUAGCCACUUGAAUACUUCAAUUACACUCCAUUUUAGUGGAUGCAACAAGUGAGUUAGUGGUUCAUGUGCCCAUCUUCGCCAUCAUGACAACCCAACCUUUGUACAAGAUUACAGCUGGCCAAGGUAGCUUCAUUUAUUCAGCUUUUGUGGAGUUAUCCUUGUAAUUAAUUAACAAAGUAAGUCGUUCUCUUAAUUUCUUUAUAUAUUGAUGGAAAUUAACAACUGAUGUUUUAUGACUGAAGGCGAAAUCUACAGCUUGAAAAUUUACUUUGUAUAAUGUAUAAUUUUGUUAUAGAUGAUAGGUUAUUAUACGUACGGUCUUUGUGACUGUUAGUUUCAUUAUCAUUUGUUCUAUGGUGAGGCCUUUCUUUUUUUUUUUCUUUUUUUUUUUCAGUUACAGUUGUCGGUGUCCUUCGUCAUACUUUAUUUUGUAGCAUAUAGUUUCUUUUUUAUUUAUUCAUCUAUUUUUUUUUUUUUUUUUCAUUUCAAAAAGACCUGGUUUCGCUGUGUAGUGCAGAAAGUAUGAUUAUCAGGAAAUAAAAUCGACAAGUAUCUUGAUUGAGGAGGAACUACCCCAAAUAAUUUUAUGGUCGAAGAAUUCGUAUAAAUAAAUAUAUUUUUUUCUUCUUUUGCGAAAAGCAACCAAAAACUUCUUUAUACUUUUAGUUUAUUAUUUCAGAUUUAACAUUAUUGGGUGUGUAUAUCUAAUCAUGUGUGAGAUCACAGCUAGAAAAUCCACCACAAUGGCCGGUAUUAUAUUAUGCCUAACGUAGAGGGGAGUGGACUCGGCAAACACCGGGACGCCUCCUCUAUAUGCAAAGGUCGGCAUUUGAACUUAGCAGGUAGAUACCGAGUCUCUCUCUGGUUUUUUUUUUCUCCCACCAUGACCCUCUCUCUCUUCUCCCUCAUCCACUUCCUUUGUCAUUGUAAAGAGAUUUCGGCAACCACAUGAGUUGAUGUGUAACUCGGCAAAUGUUGCCAUGACUCCUCCAACCUUAUGCGUUUAGUUUUUAUGGUUUUGUUUGAUUUUUGAUUAUUUAUUGUCAUAUUUUUUAUAAUUGAUCGGAAAUUAAUAUUUUAUUUUUAAGUGAUUUUUUAUUAAUUUUUAUCUUUAUUUAAAAUUUUAUUUAUUAUUUAUUAUUUAUUAUAUGCAAUUUUAAAAUAACCUUUUAACUUAAAAAAUAUAUUUUUUUUAAUCUAAUCUUAACCCUAAACCUAUCAUUUUCAUCCUAUCUCCUUCUUCAUUUUGCGAAAUUCCGCCACCUCUAAAAUCCAACUUCAACAUCUACAAAACCUCCUUAAUACUACAUCGCAGGCGCCACAUUCAACAUCUAUAAUUCCGCCUCAACAUUUCAUCUUCGACACCACCUUCAACUUUCCUAAUGUCGCCUUCAAAAUCCAAAAUCGCAAAAUUCUUUCCAGAUCUUAAUAUCCACCACAAAUCUCAUCCACGUUUAUCUUCUACGUUGCUAUCUCCUUCUCUCUGUCACCUUUGAUUCAUCGAGAUUUUUGUCUCCAGUUCUCUUCUUCAUCUUCGAUUCACAUUGUUACGUCCCAAUUUUCAAAUUGAUUUUUUUUUUCUUUUAAAAGAGUCAUUAAACAACUAUUUCUCAUAAAGGUGAAAUACUAAAUAUUUCCAAAACCACAAAACCAUAACAUGUGAAAUCAAUGUAUCAAAUCAUCAGAAGUAGGGAAAGUUUAAGAACAUAAACAUAAAAGAUGCGUAUUCGUAGCUCUCAAGGCGUGCACAAGUUUUUAGUGGCAUAUUCCUUUUUGUGACACUAUAUUUAUUUUUAAUGAUACAUAUUAUUUUGUACCUCUAUAUCACCUCUAUUUUGGUUUUCCCGCCUUUGAUUCCCCAAAAACUAAAAGCUUCCCAUUGCCAGAUCAUUUUCAUUUUCAACUUUUAAUUUACAAUCAGUGUUAGAAUUUUAACCUAAUUUCCCACACCAAAAAAAUCAUAUGAACGUUUCUCCUACCACACUAGUUUCUAUGGAAUAUUCUUAAUAUUCAAUUCAUGUCCACGUUCCUCACCCCCCAUUUUAUAGAGCUCCUCUUGAAAUCAAAAUUCACUGCUUUACCACGUUCGCCACUUGAUAGAGAAGACGAAGUUGUUUGUGGUUUUAGGUUUGAAGAUGACUGUUUCAGGUAAUGAUUCAGAUUAUUGAUGUUGUUAUUAUCGCAAAAUUCGAGAAGUUGCAUUGGGUUCCUCUUUUAGAUGGAGAAGAGAGGUAACAAUAGGUCAGUUUCAAUUUAGGGUUAAAUGUGCGCAUCAUGGAGUUCCUAUUUUUUAUUUAAGGUUUAUAGUUGGAUGUGUGUGUUCCCAAUUACUGAUUUAGGGUUUAUAGUUGCUCAAAAUUUCAUGAUAAUAUCAUUUUCUUUGCUUGUAUCAACCCCCAAAUUUAUUUAUGUUUCAUCUUAGUAAGGCUAAUUUCUAAUUUUCAAAUUCAAAUGUGCAGUGAAGAACUUUUAUAAAUUUUUGUUGUUGAAUGCUUCAGAAGAAACUAAAUACCAUGGUGUCCUUGAAACCCUAAUAUCGAACCCUAGCCUUUAGAGUGAAGAUCUUGGAGCCUUUUUGGUAAUUUUUGUGCAUUCAUGUUGAGGAAGAAGGUCAUUGAAGAAGGUGAUGUUGCAUACAAGCUUGUAGAUCCAGAAACUACCUCACUUUUUGCAUCUUUUGAAGGUAUAAAGUUCAAACAUUGAUGAUGUUCUUUCUAGAUCUCUUUAGAUGGGUUUUAGGAGAUAUUUGUCCCAAAGCUUGGACCUUUGUGAGUAUGGGGUGCUCCAGAGCAUAUUGGAUGUCCUUUUAGAUAUAUUAGUGUGCUUAGAUUCAUAAAGAAGGUUGCUUGAUCGUUUCCCUUGGCCCAUGCAUGAGUUAAGUUACUAAAAGUGUCUUAGAAGUUAAGAUUUGUGUAUUGAGCCCUAUCUAGCCAUGCAAAGGCUUAAAGUCAGUAAAUUUAUUGGUUAAAUCAUUCUACAAUGGUCAGAUAUGAAGUUUGGAUAAGUGUCUUAAAGGAUUAAGACAUAAAAUUUGUUGAUUAUGGACCAGGCAAAGUACAUUGGGUGUACUCCUAGCUACGCCCCGCAUAGCCAGGCCCAUCCCCGAUGAUUGCUGACUCAAGUUGUACGACCCGCGUAGAAAGUGUACACCCUGCAUAUAGACGAGAAUGUAGCUAGGCUUGUUUACUUUUGCUGACUUUUGACUUUGGUCAAAAGAUUUAGGGUUUUGGACCAUGGAAGGGAAAAAUUGUCUUUUUUGCCAUUGGACCUAUGAGUCGGGUUAUAACCUUAACUUACUACGGGUACUUGUUGUGGUUAUUAGGCAAAUUCUAGCUCCGACAAUAUGAGUGUUAGAUUUAUAUCUCAUCAGUAUCAGGUGAGUCUCCUCACUUAUUCUUAUUUGUGUUCCAAAAUAGUUGUAUUUUUGAUGACCAGCUGGGUCUAGCUACUACUAUUGUGUUAUCUGUUUACGUGCAAUUAAGACUUCAAGUAGUCUCCAGGGUUGCUGAUAAUGUAACGCCCGCAUUUCCAGGCUAGGCAUUAUUGUUGAUGUAAUAGUCUAGGUUAACCUUUUUAAUUCUUUUGAAGUAUUAAUGAUGAAAUAUUUGAGUAUUAUGUGGAUUAUAUGUAUUUGUAUACUUAUUACUUAAUUAUAAAGAUAUAAUUAAUAAAGGAUAAGAAUAAGUGUCAAAAUGGAAUUCAUAACGCUAUGCUAACAAGAAGCGAAGGCCGAUGACCUUCGAAGUUGGAGAUUCGGUUUUGCUUAAAGUCUUGCCGUGGAAGGGACUUAUAAGAUUUGGUAAAAGGGGAAAGUUAAGUCCAAGGUUUAUUGGACCGUUUAAAGUUCUUCAGAGGGUUGGGAACCAAGAUUACAAGCUCGAAUUACCCGAAGAGUUGAAUGGAAUUCAUAACACUUUCCAUGUGUGUUAUUUGAGGAAGUUCACGGGAGAAGUUCCCGAUAUAAUUCCAAUUUCUGAAUUGAGAAUUGAUGAAAACAAAAGGUUAAUUGAAGAACCUGAGACAAUUGUUGACCGAAAGACUAAGAAGCUUUGACGCAAGAUGGUCGAAUUAGUUCUUGUCCGUUGGAAACAUUCGAAUGGGCCAAAUCUCAACUGGGAAAUGGAGAGUGACAUGUUGCUAUCCGCAUUUGUUUGUUGAUGUGUGAUUCUGGGGACGGAAUCAUCCUAAGGGGGAGAGAAUUGUAACGCCCGCGUUUCCAGGCUAGGCAUUAUUGUUGAUGUAAUAGUCUAGGUUAACCUUUGUAAUUCUUUUGAAGUAUUAAUGAUGAAAUAUUUGAGUAUUAUGUGAA